rnacentral:rRNA from 1 species
UCUCGUAGUGACCUGCGGAGGGAUCAUUACAGAGUUCAUGCCCUUCGGGGUAGACCUCCCACCCAUUGUAUUUAUACCUUUGUUGCUUUGGUGGGCCGCGGGGCUUCGGCCCGGCCCCUGGCUCUAGCUAGGGAGUGCCCGCCAGAGGACCCUAAAACCUGAAUGUCAGUGUCGUCUGAGUACUAUAUAAUAGUUAAAACUUUCAACAACGGAUCUCUUGGUUCUGGCAUCGAUGAAGAACGCAGCGAAAUGCGAUAAGUAAUGUGAAUUGCAGAAUUCAGUGAAUCAUCGAAUCUUUGAACGCACAUUGCGCCCCUUGGUAUUCCGGGGGGCAUGCCUGUUCGAGCGUCAUUUCAACCCUCAAGCUCUGCUUGGUCUUGGGCGUCACCGGUCUCGGUGUGCUCUAAAAUCAGUGGCGGCGCCGUCUGGCUCUAAGCGUAGUAAUGCUCUCGCUAUAGACGCCCGGCGGAUGCUUGCCAGCAACCCCUAAUUUAUCAAAGUUGACCUCGGAUCAGGUAGGGAUACCCGCUGAACUUAAGCAUAUCAAUAAGCGGAGGAA